GUACAGAAGCACUGCAGUUAUAUGACAAGGCGUGUGGAUGCAAAUGCUUUUAUAGGUCUGCUGUUGCCCUGGAGGUGCUGUCAGUGGAGUCUAAGAUUUGGUUCCCUUGUUUGUCAAUAUUCAUCAAUCAGAAUUCUUGAGCAUCUGUCACGGUGAGGCACUGUGCUAAGCACUCAGCAUAAAUUGACUGAAGAAAACAGACACAGUCCCUGCCUUCCCUGAGUGUGCAUUCUAGUGGGAGCAACAGACCUUAAAUGAGACCUUUCUAAAAUUGAGUAUAAAAGGAACUAAUGAGAUAGAAACUCAGAAGGACAAAGACAACAGGUGAUGAGAGAGAGAAUUGUGACUGCAAAGAGUGAACAUAUUUUUGGAAGAUAAAAAGUGGAAGGAGGAGUGAGCAAAAGUAAGAAUGCUGUAUACCAAGUGUGAGCAAACUGGAUGCCAAUGUCAAAGGAGCCAAGUCACAGCAUCUAACCCCCCUAGUCCAGGCAAGUGUUCCUCCUCACCCUGCCAGGAUGCCAGAAUCUUACUAUUCUGUGGAGAAGUUGAACUGGAGUGGCUCCACAACCAGGAUGCCGGCCCCAGAAGA
rnacentral:lncRNA from 1 species